rnacentral:rRNA from 1 species
UACGGAGGGUGCAAGCAUUGAUCGGAAUUACUGGGCGUAAAGGGCGCGUAGGCGGCAAAGAAAGUCGGAUGUGAAAUUCCGGGGCUCAACCCCGGAGCUGCAUUUGAAACUUCUUAGCUAGAGUUCAGUUGGGGUAAACGGAAUUCCACGUGUAGCGGUGAAAUGCGUAGAUAUGUGGAAGAACACCGGUGGUGAAGACGGUUUACUGGGCUGAUACUGACGCUGAGGCGCGAAAGCAUGGGGAGCAAACAGG